CGCACGUGCCAUAUAAAGUUCUUGAUAAACAUGGUUUUGGGAAUGAACUCUUGUCUAGAGUGGAGAAAGAAUGUGUUGAGAUUGAUAUCAAGUAUGAAGGCUUCAUUAUGCGGCAACAAAACCAACUUCAAUAGAUGGUCCAUAAACAACAUAAACCACUUCCAGAGGACUUGGAUUACUAUGCAAUGACAACUUUGUCUCUUGAAGCACGUGAGAAACUGUCCAAGGUCAGGCCGCAAACCAUUGGGCAAGCAAGCAGGGUGGGUGGGGUAAGCCCUGCAGACGUUACUGCUCUCCUCAUUAUUCUUGAGGCCAAUCGUAGGAAAGCUCAGGAACAGCAGAGGCACCAGAGAUUGACUUUUCUCAGAGCAGAUAUAGAUGAUCCACAUUUGCCCCAAGUUCCUUUGACUGAGUCAAUCAUCACUUAAAUGUGCAUCACAGUAUUUCAAAGAAGCCGCCAGAGAAUCAGACAAAUGAGCAUCAAAUCUGACUUUGGAUUAACAUGAGACCUUUUGGAAAGCUAAGUGGCAAGAUGGUUUUUUGGCAUUAGGAUUGUGAAACUUAUCACAAAUAUGCUUCUGCUGCCUUGCACUUGAGGAAUUUUGAUCAUCUUUCUCACAAUUUUGCAGCAACAAAAGUGAAGGUCAGCUCAGGGACUCAAAAAUUAAAAGUGCAUUAUUUCAAAAUUAAUUUUCUUGUCAAUUUACUUAAAGUCUGUUGAUUCAUAGUUUUUGCAGCCUCACAAGUCAAUAGAUAUUGUAUUAGUUGUAGUCUUUGUAAUUAGUAUAAUAUGUGUACAUGCCUUAAUUAAGUGAAAAAUGUUUAGAAAUAGAAUUAAGACCUUCUAAGGUUGAUAUUGUGUACUUGCUACCAACUACAAUCUCAGGCAAUAUUAAUUUG